rfam:Ricinus communis cultivar Hale ctg_1100012342815, whole genome shotgun sequence.
GCGAAUGUAGCCAAGUGGAUCAAGGCAGUGGAUUGUGAAUCCACCAUGCGCGGGU